CAGGCAUGAAAACUGAGAAUUAGGUAGACUAGACAUUGCUGUCGCUCACGGUGAAAGAAUUUUGUCAAUACGACAUGUACUUUUCAUUUGGGAAGGAUUUGUUUGGGGCUGACUUUUCUGUUCAUUUUAAGCAGCAAAAGUGAGGUGCAUGUCUGUGUGCGUGUGUAUGGAGCCCCUGGCUCAGUCACUAUAGCAACCAGGCUCACACCUGCCUGCCUAACGAGCUCUCUCUCACUCUGC
ensembl:lncRNA